CGCGGCCUAUCAGCUUGUUGGUGAGGUAACGGCUCACCAAGGCAUCGACGGGUAGCUGGUCUGAGAGGAUGAUCAGCCACACUGGGACUGAGACACGGCCCAGACUCCUACGGGAGGCAGCAGUUAGGAAUCUUGCGCAAUGGGCGAAAGCCUGACGCAGCAACGCCGCGUGGGGGACGAAGGCUCUCGGGUUGUAAACCCCUUUCAGUGGGGACGAAUCAAGACGGUACCCACAGAAGAAGCCCCGGCCAACUACGUGCCAGCAGCCGCGGUAACACGUAGGGGGCAAGCGUUGUCCGGAUUUAUUGGGCGUAAAGAGCUCGUAGGCGGUUCGGUAAGUCGGGUGUGGAACCUCCAGGCUCAACCUGGAGACGCCACCUGAUACUGCUGUGACUCGAGUCCGGUAGGGGAGCGUGGAAUUCCUGGUGUAGCGGUGAAAUGCGCAGAUAUCAGGAGGAACACCAGCGGCGAAGGCGGCGCUCUGGGCCGGAACUGACGCUGAGGAGCGAAAGCGUGGGUAGCAAACAGGAUUAGAUACCCUGGUAGUCCACGCCGUAAACGUUGGGCACUAGGUGUGGGGUCUUAUCAACGGAUUCCGUGCCGUAGCUAACGCAUUAAGUGCCCCGCCUGGGGAGUACGG
rnacentral:rRNA from 1 species